AACGAACGCUGGCGGCAUGCCUAACACAUGCAAGUCGAACGAACCCUUCGGGGUGAGUGGCGCACGGGUGCGUAACACGUGGGAACCUGCCCUUAGGUUCGGAAUAACAGUUAGAAAUGACUGCUAAUACCGGAUAAUGUCUUCGGACCAAAGAUUUAUCGCCUUUGGAUGGGCCCGCGUAGGAUUAGCUAGUUGGUGAGGUAAAGGCUCACCAAGGCGACGAUCCUUAGCUGGUCUUAGAGGAUGAUCAGCCACACUGGGACUGAGACACGGCCCAGACUCCUACGGGAGGCAGCAGUGGGGAAUAUUGGACAAUGGGCGAAAGCCUGAUCCAGCAAUGCCGCGUGAGUGAUGAAGGCCUUAGGGUUGUAAAGCUCUUUUACCUGGGAUGAUAAUGACAGUACCAGGAGAAUAAGCCCCGGCUAACUCCGUGCCAGCAGCCGCGGUAA
rnacentral:rRNA from 1 species